CUUACGGGUGGCUGCAGUGGGGAAUAUUGGACAAUGGGCGAAAGCCUGAUCCAGCCAUGCCGCGUGUGUGAAGAAGGCCUUCGGGUUGUAAAGCACUUUCAGUGGGGAAGAAAGCCUUGGGGCUAAUACCCUCGAGGAAGGACAUCACCCACAGAAGAAGCACCGGCUAACUCCGUGCCAGCAGCCGCGGUAAUACGGAGGGUGCGAGCGUUAAUCGGAAUUACGGGGCGAAAGCGCGCGUAGGCGGUCUGAUAAGCCGGUUGUGAAAGCCCCGGGCUCAACCUGGGAACGGCAUCCGGAACUGUCAGGCUAGAGUGAAGGAGAGGAAGGUAGAAUUCCCGGUGUAGCGGUGAAAUGCGUAGAGGUCGGGAGGAAUACCAGUGGCGAAGGCGGCCUUCUGGACUGACACUGACGCUGAGGUGCGAAAGCGUGGGUAGCAAACAAGAUUAGAUACCCCAGUAGUC
rnacentral:rRNA from 1 species